rnacentral:rRNA from 1 species
CCGGUGUGAGUAGCGAAAGACGGGUGAGAAUCCCGUCCACCGAUUGACUAAGGUUUCCAGAGGAAGGCUCGUCCGCUCUGGGUUAGUCGGGUCCUAAGCUGAGGCCGACAGGCGUAGGCGAUGGAUAACAGGUUGAUAUUCCUGUACCACCUAUAAUCGUUUUAAUCGAUGGGGGGACGCAGUAGGAUAGGCGAAGCGUGCGAUUGGAUUGCACGUCUAAGCAGUAAGGCUGAGUAUUAGGCAAAUCCGGUACUCAUUAAGGCUGAGCUGUGAUGGGGAGAAGACAUUGUGUCUUCGAGUCGUUGAUUUCACACUGCCGAGAAAAGCCUCUAGAUAGAAAAUAGGUGCCCGUACCGCAAACCGACACAGGUAGUCAAGAUGAGAAUUCUAAGGUGAGCGAGCGAACUCUCGUUAAGGAACUCGGCAAAAUGACCCCGUAACUUCGGGAGAAGGGGUGCUCUUUAG